ACGAAGGGGGCUAGCGUUGCUCGGAAUUACUGGGCGUAAAGGGCGCGUAGGCGGAUAUUUAAGUUGGGGGUGAAAUCCCGGGGCUCAACCUCGGAAUUGCCUUCAAAACUGGAUAUCUUGAGUUCGGGAGAGGUGAGUGGAACUCCGAGUGUAGAGGUGAAAUUCGUAGAUAUUCGGAAGAACACCAGUGGCGAAGGCGACUCACUGGCCCGAUACUGACGCUGAGGCGCGAAAGCGUGGGGAGCAAACAGGA
rnacentral:rRNA from 1 species